GCAGAAUUCAGUGAAUCAUCAAAUCUUUGAACGCACCUUGCACCUUUUGGUAUUCCAAAAGGUAUACCUGUUUGAGUGUCAU
rnacentral:rRNA from 1 species